rnacentral:rRNA from 1 species
UAGGGAAUAUUGGACAAUGGGCGCAAGCCUGAUCCAGCCAUGCCGCGUGAGUGAUGAAGGCCCUAGGGUUGUAAAGCUCUUUCACCGGUGAAGAUAAUGACGGUAACCGGAGAAGAAGCCCCGGCUAACUUCGUGCCAGCAGCCGCGGUAAUACGAAGGGGGCUAGCGUUGUUCGGAUUUACUGGGCGUAAAGCGCACGUAGGCGGACUUUUAAGUCAGGGGUGAAAUCCCGGGGCUCAACCCCGGAACUGCCUUUGAUACUGGAAGUAUUGAGUAUGGUAGAGGUGAGUGGAAUUCCGAGUGUAGAGGUGAAAUUCGUAGAUAUUCGGAGGAACACCAGUGGCGAAGGCGGAUCACUGGACCAAUACUGACGCUGAGGUGCGAAAGCGUGGAGAGCAAACAGG